CAGAGGAGCUUGCUCCUUGGGUGACGAGUGGCGGACGGGUGAGUAAUGUCUGGGAAACUGCCCGAUGGAGGGGGAUAACUACUGGAAACGGUAGCUAAUACCGCAUAACGUCGCAAGACCAAAGAGGGGGACCUUCGGGCCUCUUGCCAUCGGAUGUGCCCAGAUGGGAUUAGCUAGUAGGUGGGGUAAUGGCUCACCUAGGCGACGAUCCCUAGCUGGUCUGAGAGGAUGACCAGCCACACUGGAACUGAGACACGGUCCAGACUCCUACGGGAGGCAGCAGUGGGGAAUAUUGCACAAUGGGCGCAAGCCUGAUGCAGCCAUGCCGCGUGUAUGAAGAAGGCCUUCGGGUUGUAAAGUACUUUCAGCGAGGAGGAAGGCGUUGUGGUUAAUAACCGCAGCGAUUGACGUUACUCGCAGAAGAAGCACCGGCUAACUCCGUGCCAGCAGCCGCGGUAAUACGGAGGGUGCAAGCGUUAAUCGGAAUUACUGGGCGUAAAGCGCACGCAGGCGGUCUGUCAAGUCGGAUGUGAAAUCCCCGGGCUCAACCUGGGAACUGCAUCCGAAACUGGCAGGCUAGAGUCUUGUAGAGGGGGGUAGAAUUCCAGGUGUAGCGGUGAAAUGCGUAGAG
rnacentral:rRNA from 1 species